rnacentral:lncRNA from 1 species
UGAACUAUGAAUGCCAUUACUCAUUACGCCAUUCUCCAUUUCCAUUUUACGGCUGAUUACGGCGUCAUGUUUUGGUGUUAUAUUUGUGUGUAAUGUGUAUUCAACGUAUUCAAUAAUAUUCAACUGAAGUAUUUAGUAAACAGGACAUGUGUUGCAAGGAUAUUCUGCUUACAAAAUGAAUCUACAGUUGAUCUACAGUCAAAUGAUUGAAUUUAUAUUUUGACUACAUACAAAUGUGUCCCUAAUAACAAAUGUUAAGAACAGAAGCCAUUCCAUUACAGUGUCUGGAUAAAUAUAAAUGGAUAUUUGGUUAGUAAGGAGUGCAGGCCUCAUGCAGUUUGGUUUUUUGCUGGCCACAAAAGCUUUUACGCCGAAGAUGUAAUUUUAAGUAUGGACUUUUUUAUGGAUUCAUAGAAAUAAUAAUUAUGCUGGUGUAUCGGAUCGACACUGAUGAAUGUAGAAUAUAAGACACGAUAACAUGAUUAAGACACAGACAUUGCCUCACGCGUAUAGAAAAAAGAGACUGUGGCAAAUAGUAUUCAAAAUCUUGACCUAAUGUAUAAAUGCACCUCCUUUAAUUAAUGUAUUAAUAUUAAAUAUAAUUUGUUA